AAUCAAGAGUUCCAACGCAAAACCCUGGUUUGUUGGACGGCAACCCUCUCGCUGUAGCGGGGUGCCCCAGGUGAGGAUUCGGCCCGUCAUGCACCGUGCGGGCAAGUAUGGCGC
rnacentral:ncRNA from 2 species